UACGGGGGGGGGCAAGCGUUGUUCGGAAUUACUGGGCGUAAAGGGCUCGUAGGUGGCCAACUAAGUCAGACGUGAAAUCCCUCGGCUUAACCGGGGAACUGCGUCUGAUACUGGAUGGCUUGAGUUUGGGAGAGGGACGCGGAAUUCCAGGUGUAGCGGUGAAAUGCGUAGAUAUCAUGAGGAAUACCAGAGGCGAAGGCGGCUACCUGGACAAUUGCUGACGCUCAGGCACGAAAGCGUGGGGAGCAAAAGGG
rnacentral:rRNA from 1 species